UACGUAGGGGGCAAGCGUUGUCCGGAUUUAUUGGGCGUAAAGAGCGUGUAGGCGGUUUUGGUAGGUCCGUUGUGAAAACUCGAGGCUCAACCUCGAGACGCCGAUGGAAACCAUCAGACUAGAGUCCGGAAGAGGAGAGUGGAAUUCCUGGGUGUAGCGGUGAAAUGCGCAGAUAUCAGGAAGAACACCCGUGGCUAAGGCGGCUCUCUAGUACGGUACUGACGCUGAGACGCGAAAAGCGUGGGGAGCGAACAGG
rnacentral:rRNA from 1 species